GGUUAAGCGACUAAGCGUACACGGUGGAUGCCCUGGCAGUCAGAGGCGAUGAAGGACGUGCUAAUCUGCGAUAAGCGUCGGUGAGGUGAUAUGAACCGUUAUAACCGGCGAUUUCCGAAUGGGGAAACCCAGUGUGUUUCGACACACUAUCAUUAACUGAAUCCAUAGGUUAAUGAGGCGAACCGGGGGAACUGAAACAUCUAAGUACCCCGAGGAAAAGAAAUCAACCGAGAUUCCCCCAGUAGCGGCGAGCGAACGGGGAGGAGCCCAGAGUCUGAAUCAGUGUGUGUGUUAGUGGAAGCGUCUGGAAAGGCGUGCGAUACAGGGUGACAGCCCCGUACACAAAAAUGCACAUAUUGUGAGCUCGAUGAGUAGGGCGGGACACGUGGUAUCCUGUCUGAAUAUGGGGGGACCAUCCUCCAAGGCUAAAUACUCCUGACUGACCGAUAGUGAACCAGUACCGUGAGGGAAAGGCGAAAAGAACCCCGGCGAGGGGAGUGAAAAAGAACCUGAAACCGUGUACGUACAAGCAGUGGGAGCCUCUUAAUGGGGUGACUGCGUACCUUUUGUAUAAUGGGUCAGCGACUUAUAUUCUGUAGCAAGGUUAACCGAAUAGGGGAGCCGAAGGGAAACCGAGUCUUAACUGGGCGUUAAGUUGCAGGGUAUAGACCCGAAACCCGGUGAUCUAGCCAUGGGCAGGUUGAAGGUUGGGUAACACUAACUGGAGGACCGAACCGACUAAUGUUGAAAAAUUAGCGGAUGACUUGUGGCUGGGGGUGAAAGGCCAAUCAAACCGGGAGAUAGCUGGUUCUCCCCGAAAGCUAUUUAGGUAGCGCCUCGUGAAUUCAUCUCCGGGGGUAGAGCACUGUUUCGGCAAGGGGGUCAUCCCGACUUACCAACCCGAUGCAAACUGCGAAUACCGGAGAAUGUUAUCACGGGAGACACACGGCGGGUGCUAACGUCCGUCGUGAAGAGGGAAACAACCCAGACCGCCAGCUAAGGUCCCAAAGUCAUGGUUAAGUGGGAAACGAUGUGGGAAGGCCCAGACAGCCAGGAUGUUGGCUUAGAAGCAGCCAUCAUUUAAAGAAAGCGUAAUAGCUCACUGGUCGAGUCGGCCUGCGCGGAAGAUGUAACGGGGCUAAACCAUGCACCGAAGCUGCGGCAGCGACACUAUGUGUUGUUGGGUAGGGGAGCGUUCUGUAAGCCUGUGAAGGUGGCCUGUGAGGGUUGCUGGAGGUAUCAGAAGUGCGAAUGCUGACAUAAGUAACGAUAAAGCGGGUGAAAAGCCCGCUCGCCGGAAGACCAAGGGUUCCUGUCCAACGUUAAUCGGGGCAGGGUGAGUCGACCCCUAAGGCGAGGCCGAAAGGCGUAGUCGAUGGGAAACAGGUUAAUAUUCCUGUACUUGGUGUUACUGCGAAGGGGGGACGGAGAAGGCUAUGUUGGCCGGGCGACGGUUGUCCCGGUUUAAGCGUGUAGGCUGGUUUUCCAGGCAAAUCCGGAAAACCAAGGCUGAGGCGUGAUGACGAGGCACUACGGUGCUGAAGCGACAAAUGCCCUGCUUCCAGGAAAAGCCUCUAAGCAUCAGGUAACAUCAAAUCGUACCCCAAACCGACACAGGUGGUCAGGUAGAGAAUACCAAGGCGCUUGAGAGAACUCGGGUGAAGGAACUAGGCAAAAUGGUGCCGUAACUUCGGGAGAAGGCACGCUGAUAUGUAGGUGAAGCGACUUGCUCGUGGAGCUGAAAUCAGUCGAAGAUACCAGCUGGCUGCAACUGUUUAUUAAAAACACAGCACUGUGCAAACACGAAAGUGGACGUAUACGGUGUGACGCCUGCCCGGUGCCGGAAGGUUAAUUGAUGGGGUUAGCGGUAACGCGAAGCUCUUGAUCGAAGCCCCGGUAAACGGCGGCCGUAACUAUAACGGUCCUAAGGUAGCGAAAUUCCUUGUCGGGUAAGUUCCGACCUGCACGAAUGGCGUAAUGAUGGCCAGGCUGUCUCCACCCGAGACUCAGUGAAAUUGAACUCGCUGUGAAGAUGCAGUGUACCCGCGGCAAGACGGAAAGACCCCGUGAACCUUUACUAUAGCUUGACACUGAACAUUGAGCCUUGAUGUGUAGGAUAGGUGGGAGGCUUUGAAGUGUGGACGCCAGUCUGCAUGGAGCCGACCUUGAAAUACCACCCUUUAAUGUUUGAUGUUCUAACGUUGGCCCGUAAUCCGGGUUGCGGACAGUGUCUGGUGGGUAGUUUGACUGGGGCGGUCUCCUCCUAAAGAGUAACGGAGGAGCACGAAGGUUGGCUAAUCCUGGUCGGACAUCAGGAGGUUAGUGCAAUGGCAUAAGCCAGCUUGACUGCGAGCGUGACGGCGCGAGCAGGUGCGAAAGCAGGUCAUAGUGAUCCGGUGGUUCUGAAUGGAAGGGCCAUCGCUCAACGGAUAAAAGGUACUCCGGGGAUAACAGGCUGAUACCGCCCAAGAGUUCAUAUCGACGGCGGUGUUUGGCACCUCGAUGUCGGCUCAUCACAUCCUGGGGCUGAAGUAGGUCCCAAGGGUAUGGCUGUUCGCCAUUUAAAGUGGUACGCGAGCUGGGUUUAGAACGUCGUGAGACAGUUCGGUCCCUAUCUGCCGUGGGCGCUGGAGAACUGAGGGGGGCUGCUCCUAGUACGAGAGGACCGGAGUGGACGCAUCACUGGUGUUCGGGUUGUCAUGCCAAUGGCACUGCCCGGUAGCUAAAUGCGGAAGAGAUAAGUGCUGAAAGCAUCUAAGCACGAAACUUGCCCCGAGAUGAGUUCUCCCUGACUCCUUGAGGGUCCUGAAGGAACGUUGAAGACGACGACGUUGAUAGGCCGGGUGUGUAAGCGCAGCGAUGCGUUGAGCUAACCGGUACUAAUGAACCGUGAGGCUUAACCUUAC
rnacentral:rRNA from 1 species